rnacentral:rRNA from 1 species
UACGGAGGGAGCUAGCGUUGUUCGGAAUUACUGGGCGUAAAGCGUACGUAGGCGGCUUUGUAAGUCAGCGGUGAAAGCCUGGAGCUCAACUCUAGAACUGCCUUUGAGACUGCAUCGCUCGAAUCCGGGAGAGGUGAGUGGAAUUCCGAGUGUAGAGGUGAAAUUCGUAGAUAUUCGGAAGAACACCAGUGGCGAAGGCGGCUCGCUGGACCGGUAUUGACGCUGAGGUGCGAAAGCGUGGGGAGCAAACAGG